rnacentral:rRNA from 1 species
UACGUAGGGACCAAGCGUUGUCCGGAAUCAUUGGGCGUAAAGCGCGCGUAGGUGGCUUCGUAAGUCCGUUGUGAAAGUCAAAGGCUCAACCUUUGAAAGCCGAUGGAUACUGCGAAGCUAGAGUACGGAAGAGGCGAGUGGAAUUCCUGGUGUAGCGGUGGAAUGCGCAGAUAUCAGGAGGAACACCAAUAGCGAAGGCAGCUCGCUGGGACGUUACUGACACUGGAGGCGCGAAAGCGUGGGGAGCGAACAGG